rnacentral:tRNA from 1 species
UCAGUAGGUAGUUUAAAUAAAAAUGUUAGUUUUGGAGACUAAUGAUAAAUUUAUCUUUUCUUCUG